GCGGGCUGGCGGGCGGCGGCGACGGGCGGCUCCGCGGUGUGGGGACCACACACCGCCCGCCCGCGCCCGGCCCCUUGUCCUCGCGCGGCGAAGGUCCCGCGCGGCGGCGCUGGCGGCGGGACACGGUGGGCCCUGCGCGAAUUAUAGGCGUUCCUUCUGAGGCUCCAUGUUAAGCCUCUCCCGGACGCGCCCUCCCGGCUCCCCGUCCCCGAAAGCCGCACCCCGGGGCCCCAAGGAGCCGCGCUACCGGCCCGCACCCCGCGCUCCCGGCCCCGGGCCUCAGGCUGCGGCAUCUCCAGCCCCCAGCCGCCGCCGGGACCGCGCGCCCGCGCCGCGGUCUGGUUCCGGAGCGGGGGCAGCCUCGGAAGGAAAGCAGUACUCACAAUAA
rnacentral:lncRNA from 1 species